rnacentral:rRNA from 1 species
GGCGGCAGCAGGCGCGAAACCUUUACACUGCACGACAGUGCGAUAAGGGGACCCCGAGUGCGAGGGCAUACAGUCCUCGCUUUUCCGUACCGUAAGGUGGUACGGGAACAAGGGCUGGGCAAGACCGGUGCCAGCCGCCGCGGUAAUACCGGCAGCUCGAGUGAUGGCCGAUAUUAUUGGGCCUAAAGCGUCCGUAGCCGGCCGGGCAAGUCCGUCGGGAAAUCCACCCGCUCAACGGGUGGGCGUCCGGCGGAAACUGUCCGGCUUGGGGCCGGAAGACCCGAGGGGUACGUCCGGGGUAGGAGUGAAAUCCCGUAAUCCUGGACGGACCGCCGGUGGCGAAAGCGCCUCGGGAGGACGGACCCGACGGUGAGGGACGAAAGCUAGGGUCUCGAACCGGAUUAGAUACCCGGGUAGUCCUAGCCGUAAACGAUGCUCGCUAGGUGUGGCGCAGGCUACGAGCCUGCGCUGUGCCGUAGGGAAGCCGUGAAGCGAGCCGCCUGGGAAGUACGUCCGCAAGGAUGAAACUUAAAGGAAUUGGCGGGGGGA